AAGGAACCGUAGCACAAGCCUCAACCUGAAAACAAGGGGCUAUAAUGUGUUGUUUUCCGUCUAAAUAAACACCACCGGCGGCUCUAGAAAUGGGUCGUUGGAGGUGAACCAUACAUCGACCUGGAUACGUGUUCUUACGGGAGACAAACAACCUUCUGUAACCUUCAAACAACAAGUUUUGCUUGUUGUGAAACGUCUUCGCAAGAUGCCGAUCCAGCAGCCGCAUACUGAAGAGUUCGUGCGCUUGAGGCCAUUCACGAGCGCCUGAAACGAGGCUGACCGCUGUGACACAGGAGAGAGGGAGGGGAACAUUCCUGUGUGCCUGAGCUGGGAGCCUCUUGGCCUGGCCGAGUGCUUAGCUGGACACCCUUCUCUUUCCCCUCAGCUUCAGCUCCGGCCCCGCCAAGCACACACACACACAUGGAUGCACAACGACACACACACACACACACACACACAUACACACAGACACACACGGAGAGGGGGAGAAAAGGCCUCCAGCUGCAGGACAUGCGCUGAGUCUGCAUCUGGACACCCAUGUGUGUGUGUGUGUGUGUGUGUGUGUGUGUGUGUGUGAGAAACAGUAGCGAGGACAGUGGGGCUGUCUUCAGUGUUGGGGCAUUAAGGGGGUAUUUACAGUCUCAGGUCAGGGCACAUGAAAGGAAUGACGACUACAAGCAGACUGUGUGUGUGUGUGUGUGAGAGUAAACUCUUGCCACAGCUGGAAGAGUGUAUGACUGUACCAUGAAUGGAGUGGUUUUGUGUGGAUGUGUUUGUGUACUUCUGUGUGUGAGAGAGAGAGAGUGAGAUAGAGAGAGAAAGAGAGAGAGAGAGGGGGAAAAAGAGAGUGAACUUUAACUAUAGCUGGCACAGUGUGUCACUGUACUUGUAGCAUGGUGUGUGUGUGUGUGUGUGUGUGUGUGUGUGCGCGUAUGUGUGUUAUGCGUAUGUGCGUGUGCGUAUGUGUGUGUGUAUGCUUGUGUGUGUGUGUGUGUGUGUGUGUGUGUGUGUGUGUUUGUGUGUGUGUGUUAGGGGUUUCGGAGCGUUUGGUGUGAGAGGGAAUGUAUCCGAGUCCAUAACAUCCUGCAGAUCGCGGCGCCCGUCUCAUCUUCCAGCAGCUGAUGGACGCAACAGCCCCACCGAGCCUCAAGCCCAGCAGAAGCUGCUUUAUUUAUGGGCCUGUGCAAUACUGGGGCUGGACGUCAACUGGAAACAUUCAGAAAACAAACCACCACACACACACACACACACACACACACACACACACACACACACAUACACAUACACACACAAACGCACGCA